AGAGCCUGCUCUCUGUGCCCGGCCACCUCCCUACUGUCCUCUGGCUGUCUGCAAGGGCUUCGAUGCUCCUCCUAGGCCAGUCCUCCCCAGCGUGUAAGUGAGAUCCUACUUCCCCUUAAAGGACCACGCAACCUAAAAUGUUAAGUGUCCAAAUGUGGAGAGAUGAAGGCCUUUGGACCAACACUUAAAAAUGAAAUAAAAUGAACACCUUUGGCUCAAAUGGUUACACAACACCCCAAGUGUUAGCACAUCAGGGCAAGCAGGGCAGCAUGAAGACCAGUCACCCAGAGGAGUUUACGGGUAUCCUUCUCACACUGGGUGUUCCUAUAAUCAGCAGAGAGAUACAGAGCUCUCACCGCACGAGCUACAGACUAGUCCUUGUGAUUCUGCUGAAGCAAAACUUUGUCAUUCUGGAAGGAGGAAAGAGGAGACAGAUGGGAUACCGUCACAACAAUGUAUGUGCAAGAUUCAGCUGCUCGUGGUGGUUUGACGUCAGCAUUUCUGGGGGUGUAAUCCCCUUGUGCAAUGCCCCUCCUCUUCUGUGCCAGGACGUGCUGUACGGCUGCCCGAUGCCCAAGACCCAGAGUAUACCAGGCAGAACUGGGGCUGAUCAAGCACCCAAGUCAGCACUGGAUGCAUAUUUGUUUAGCUUUUUUGAGCCCUUCCCUUUUCCCAGUGCAGUAUAUGGCACAGAGUAAGUCAUUAGUAAAUGCUUUUACAUUCAUCCAUUCAUUGAUUCAUUUACUGGGUGUGUCAGUGUAAGAGGUCAGAAACUGGCUAAUGCAACAAAUGUUGGCUUUGGAGUCAGAAACCCAGGCUAGAAUGGCAGCUUUGCUGUUUACUGCCUGUGUGACCUUGGACUUGCUGCUUAAUAAUAAUAGUACUGAUAGCUAAUAUUUAUAUAGUGCUUACUAUAUAUGCCAGGCACCAUGCUAAGCACUUUACAAUUAUGAUCUCAUUUGAUCCUCAAAACAAUCCUGGGAGGUAGGUGCUAUUAUUAUCCCCAUUUUACAGAUGAGGAAACUGAGGCAAACAGGGGUUAAGUGACUUGCCCAGGGUCAAAUAACCAGUAAGUGUCUGAGGCCAGAUUUGAACUCAGGUCGGGAAGACCUGAGGUUUAACCUCUGUGGGAUUCAUUUGUAGAGUGAAGAAAUUGGACCAGAUGAUCUCAAAGGUCCUUUCUAGCUCAAGAUCCUAAAUAUGAGAAAAUAUGACUCUGGCACAAAUUUACUGCAUCAUGGUUGGUCCUUGGGCAAAACAGCCUUUUUAGUUAAAUCCUCAUAGUCCAAAUUGACUUGUUGGAGGACUCCCUCUUGAAACCCUCUGUGUGAUCUGUCUGCAUUUAUUGAAUAUGAAUCCAGGGAUGAAUGUUAUGGGUAAAUUUAAUUUCAAAGUAAAAAAUGUCAUUAACAAAAUGACGACUUGUAAAGAUUCUUCCUUUUGGUUGGAUAUUUCUUUUUCCUUCAGGAAAUGUAAAAUUCACUUUCAAAUGUACAUAUUUAAUGUAGCUCCUCUCCUUAGGAGAUUAACAAGAUUUAAUCAAAAUAAUAUAGAAUUACAUGAAGCUCUAAGUAGGAAGUAGAAUGCUUAUAAGUAGUUUCUUGUCCUUAGCAAAGAAAUAGAGUGCAGAGCAUCAGGGGACUGACAGAACAGGAUGGGUAAGUUUUGAUGGGUUAUCGCCUUUAAAUCUGCUCAGGGCUUAAUGAACGUAUCACUGUGGAAGGGGGAAUCGUUAAAAGUUUGUGGGCUGAGCCCACACUGGCUUACAUUCAUGGCUAGUUCACCGGCCUUAGCUUUGCCCUUGAGGUUGGCCUCUAAAAGGGAGCUAUAGGGAACUCAAGAAGGCCUGGAGACAAAGGAAGUUGGGCUUCCACAUACACACUGACAUUUCUUUGGAGAGAGCUUUGUUUAAACAAUGAUCCUCCCGGAGGCUGGGGGGCCCCAGAAGUGGGCACAGUGGAGCCAAGAGGAGUCCUGGGUCAAGGGGAAAGUUUCAUGAAUGUAAUAUAAGUCUGCACCAGUAAAGCAGUCUCAGUAGUGGUGUGACAGAGCAAUUUCUAUACCAACACAAGGACAUGGAUCAAGUCUGGAGCUGUGGGAACUGGAGCCAAGAAGCAAGAUGGCACAGAGCCCUAAUGAGAAGCAAACCCAGACCCCUAUCCUUCAAUGCUACAGUACAAUGAGUCGUGUGGACUGUGUACGUCAGAGGGAGGAAAGAUCAGCUCUCUAGCAACCCUGAGUUGUUUCCCUGCUUAGGGGGGUCGUUAUAAGUCUGGAGGGAUUAAAUAGGCCCCUGGGGAAGGUGGGGAUCACAGAGGGAGGAGUCACUUGACUCUAAAGGGGAGGUUCUCACUGGUUGGCAUCGUGGACCUUUCUUUUGGCAGUCUGGUAAAGCCUAUGGGUAAUGUAUAAAAUAAAAUAUGGCAUCAUAAAGAAAACCA
rnacentral:lncRNA from 1 species